rnacentral:rRNA from 1 species
CAGUCGCCACGGUAAUACGUAGGUGGCAAGCGUUGUCCGAAAUUAUUGGGCGUAAAGCGCGCGCAGGCGGAUCAGUCAGUCUGUCUUAAAAGUUCGGGGCUUAACCCCGUGAUGGGAUGGAAACUGCUGAUCUAGAGUAUCGGAGAGGAAAGUGGAAUUCCUAGUGUAGCGGUGAAAUGCGUAGAUAUUAGGAAGAACACCAGUGGCGAAGGCGACUUUCUGGACGAAAACUGACGCUGAGGCGCGAAAGCCAGGGGAGCGAACGGGAUUAGAUACCCGCGUAGUCCCUGUCUCUUAUACA